rnacentral:lncRNA from 1 species
CAGAGUGAAUAUCAGAAUAUGUGAUUUGGGUUGCGAACCAGAAUGGAUCCGCGACGAACAAGUAACCACGUAUAUACUUUUUUUUUCUUUUUUUAACGGUAAGUAGUAAGUAUAUACGGAAAGGCAAAAAAUGGCGGAAAUUAUGCGGUUGUACCCGGGGUGGGUAAACGGUUUAAAACCGAUCAACCCUGUUUUGUCAUACCCGUCGAUUUGAUCGAAUUAAGUUCUGGUUGGGGCUGGUUAGGUAACUGAAUUCAAUUUUAUUUAUCGAAUCAAGUUCCUUGACUUCUUCUUCAUCUAUUUUGAGC